rnacentral:rRNA from 1 species
GACGAACGCUGGCGGCGUGCUUAAUACAUGCAAGUCGAACGGAAGUAGCAAUACUUUAGUGGCGCACGGGUGAGGAACACGUAGAUGAUCUGCCCUUGAGAUCGAGAUAACCCCGGGAAACUGGGGCUAAUACCGGAUAAUGCAUUAUUAUUGGUUUAAUAAUGUUAAAGCGGCGCAAGUCGCACUUGAGGAUGAGUCUGCGACCUAUCAGCUAGUUGGCGGUGUAAUGGACCACCAAGGCAAAGACGGGUAGCUGAUCUGAGAGGAUGAUCAGCCACACUGGGACUGAGACACGGCCCAGACUCCUACGGGAGGCAGCAGUAGGGAAUAUUGCGCAAUGGGGGAAACCCUGACGCAGCGACGCCGCGUGAGUGAUGAAGGCCUUUCUGGUUGUAAAGCUCUGUAAGGAGGGAAGAAUGUCAGGCAGUAACGUGUCUGAGUGACGGUACCUCCGGAGUAAGGACCGGCUAAAUCGUGCCAGCACGG